GACGAACGCUGGCGGCAUGCCUAACACAUGCAAGUCGAACGAGACCUUCGGUUCUAGUGGCGCAGGGGUGGGUAACGCGUGAGAACCUGCCCUUAGGGUGGGAAUAACGCCCCGAAAUGCUUGCUAAUACCGUGUAAGUGCGUCUGACCAAAGAUUUAUCGCCUUUGGAUGGUCCGGCGUUGGAUUAGCUAGUUGUUAGGGUAAAAGCCGACCAAGGCGACGAUCCCUAGCUUGUCUGAGAGGAUGAUCAGCCAAACUGGGACUGAGACACGGCCCAGACUACUACGGGAGGAAGCAGUGGGGACUGUUGGACAAUGGGCGAAAGCCUGAUCCAGCAAUGCCGCGUGAGUGACGAAGGCCUUAGGGUUGUAAAGCUCUCUUACCCGGGAUGAUAAUGACAGUAGCGGGAGAAUAAGCUCCGGCUAACUACGUG
rnacentral:rRNA from 1 species